rnacentral:rRNA from 1 species
GAUGAGUGGCGAACGGGUGAGUAACACGUGAGUAACCUGCCCCCUUCUUCUGGAUAACUGCUUGAAAGGGUAGCUAAUACGGGAUAUUCUGGCCUGCUCGCAUGGGUGGGUUUGGAAAGGUUUUUUCUGGUGGGGGAUGGGCUCGCGGCCUAUCAGCUUGUUGGUGGGGUGAUGGCCUACCAAGGCGGUGACGGGUAGCCGGCCUGAGAGGGUGGACGGCCACACUGGGACUGAGACACGGCCCAGACUCC